GCGCGGUGGCUCAUACCUGUAAUCCCAGCACUUUGGGAGACCCAGGCGGGCAGAUCACCCUAAGGUCAGGAGUUUGAGAGCAGCGUGGCCAACAUGGCAAAAUCCUGUCUCUACUAAAAAUAUAAAAAUUAGCUGGGUGUGGUGGCGCGUGCCUGUAAUCCCAGCUACUCGGAAGGCUGAGGCAGGAGAAUCACUUUAACGCAGGAGACAAAGGUUGCAGUGAGCCAAGAUUGUGCCAUUGUACUUCAGCCUGGGCAACAGAGCAAGACUCCAUCUCAAAAAAAAAAAAAAAAAAGAUUUUGGAAAAGAGUUAUUUUUGACAAAGGCAUUGGGAAAUAAAGAGUAAAUGAUGGAUGAUGCUAGUAGUUACCAUUUAAAGAAUACCUACUAAGUGCCAAACACUAAGUUGUAAGUUUAUAAUCACAUUGUAAGCAUGUUUUCAUUGAAACCAAUAUAACAAUCCUAAGAGAUAGAUACCAUUUUCAUUAUUUUACUGCUGAGGAAACUGAACCAUGGAGAAGUUAGCUAACUUAUCCAAGUUCACAUACCUGGUACACAGUAGAAGCCAGAUUUGAAGCCAGAUAUGUCUAAUUAUAUCAAAACUUGACCUACCUCUGAAGGAUACAUAGCUAGAAGGAUUUUUUAAAGACGUUAUUAUGCCUUUGUGUUCAUGCUGAUUACAAGAGAGAAGAGAGUAAAUGAUGGAAUUCAGGACAUGCUACCCCAAAAUAUGGCACGUUGGCAUUGGAUACAACAACAGAAGCAGGAAGGUCUCUCUGACCUUCUCCUCACCCUUCUUGCCUGAAGCAAGCUAUAAAGAAUUUUCUGACCUGCCUCUAAAGUAAGUCAUAAAACCUUCAUUGCAGAGGUACCCACCCCAUAGCUGAAGGAAAAGAAUGUCCUUAUCUCUGAAGACAGAGGAACACAAAGAACAACAGGCCUUGUUAAUUCCUCCCAGUUUAUUACUGUUAUUAGAUUAGACCCAAUUGUCCUCAAAUCAAUUUCUCCAUGACUGUCUCCUCUUCAUCAUACACAGAUUUCCUUCUUUUCUGAAGUCUUCAUUUUCUUUCUUUCUUUCUUUCUUUCUCUUUCUUUCUUUCUUUCUUUCUUUCUUUCUUUCUUUCUUUCUCUCUCUCUCUCUCUCUUUCUUUUCUUUCUUUCUUUCUUUCUUUCUUUCUUUCUUUCUUUCUUUCUUUCUUUUUGGAGACAGGAUCUCUCUCUCUGUCGCUCAGACUGGAGUGUAGUGGCAUGAUCAUAGCUUACCGUAGCCUCGGACUCAUGGGCUCAAGGGAUCCUCUUGCCUCAGACACCUGAGUAGCAGGGACUACACGCGUGUACCACCAUGCCCUGCUAAAUUUUGUAUUUUUUGGUAGAAGCAGGGUCUCACUGUGUUGCCCAGGCUGGUCUCAAACUCCUGGGUUCAAGCAAUCCUCCCACCUACGCCUCCCAAAGUUCUGUGAUUACAGGCCUGAGCCACAGAGACCGGCUGAGGUCUUCGUUUCUGAAGGCUCCCACAUUACAUAAAACUUACAGUAAAUAAAUGUGUAUGUUUUUCUCUUGCUAGUCUCUGUUAUAGGGUUCUCCCCCAUUAACCUAGCAGUGGAUGAAAAAAGAAAAUCUCUUCUCCCCUAAGAAUAUUCCCAUAAGAAUAUCCAAUUAUAAAUAAGACUAACAAUAAACUCCUUUUAAAAUCUGAGUAGAAAAGGACCCCAUGGUAGCAAUGUAUGUAUGUUGGACUAAUUUGUAACUAUUCUCCUAAGUGUUGACCUUAAUCUUUCUGGUAAUGCAUUUUAGGAUUAGUAUACUACAAAUGUACUUUUUCUCCAAAAUUAUACGUCCUGGAUACAUUUCUUUAUGUAGAUAUGACAUACCUUUCUUGCUUCAAAUAUCAAUAACAUGUAGUGUAAGAAGCCUCCAAGAGUGUGGUCUUUUUAAAGCUGGAACUCACAUCCUUUAUUCUAUCUAGUAAGCCAUCUCUCAGGUCUCAUUCUUGAGAAGAAAAAAAAAAGCUGACAAAAUUUCUACAUUUAAAUUUAUUUUUCCCUUAAUGUUUCAUAUCAAAAUGGAAGCCAUGUUUUUCAUCAUUUCAUUCAAGACAUAAAACCUUGUGAAAAACCAAAGUAAUGGAGGAAAUGAGGAAUUGUCGUUUAGUGGAUAUAGAGUUUUAGUUUUGCAAGAUGAAAAAGUUCUGGAGAAUGGUUGCACAACAGUGUGAAAGUAUUUAGCACUCCUAAACUGUGCACUUCAAAUGGUUAAGAUGGUGAAUUUUAUGUUAUGUGUAUUUUGCUACAAUUUUAAAACUUUCCUAAUUAAAAAAGAAGUAAUGGUGAUUUUCUGGCAAAAAAAAAAAAAAAA
rnacentral:lncRNA from 10 species